UGGCACGUUUCAUUGUCCCAUUCUUUUCCUGUAAGAAAUGAGAUAUUUCUGACGUGCUAGAUGAACGUUGGAGGUAAAUUAGCAGGAUGGCUGCAACGUGCCGUUUCUGCCAGUCCCCUUCGCACACUC
ensembl:snoRNA small nucleolar RNA SNORA19